rnacentral:lncRNA from 1 species
CUCGCCUGGGACCUACGGGAAAGCAACUGGGUCGUGCUGAAGUAGACUUCAAGGCCUUUCUCCAUUUCCAGUGAUGGUUGAUUCUCUAAACUGCAGCUGCGGAUCUGGGAGAUUCCUCUUGGCCAACUUCUCUUCAAGCCUUACAGAUUCUUCAGAGUGAGAUCCAGGCUACAAUACAACAGGCUCGAGAAAAACCCUUUAUGACGUUCCAGCUCCACGGUUUCAAGCCAGGAGACCUGGUCCUGAUAUGCCGACAUCAGACAGCCUCGAGCUGCAUUGGAAGGGGCCAUAUCCUGUUAUUUUGGUAACCCCCCUCCGCAAAGUAGCGGGGGGGGGCACAGCUUGGAUUCAUCACACCCAGGUCAAGUCAGCUCCAGCAGAGAGCCCAGAGCCAGCACGAUGGAAGAUUCUAAGCACCCCAGGAGACUUAAAAGUUAAAAUUGGGAAAAGAGGACUAGUACUCCUGGUAUACAUUCUCUAUCAAUCAUGUCAGCUCGGGGGAACAAAUAACUUGUUUCUUCCCUGUUCAGAAACUUGGGAAUUAAGACUAACUUCUAGUGGAAAAAAUCCUGGCAAAAAUAGAGGACCCAACCAAUCUGAGAUCACCUUUACUGCUAGCUUAUGUCAUAUGGUUGAGGAGGCCUCAUAUUAUGGGAACAGGGGCUGUAUGGAAUCUGGGUGCUGUACUCUCACUAAAUGGGGACUCCAUCCUGUCCAAUAUUAUGUAUGUCCAGAAAAUGAAGACCCAUAUUGUGAUGGUAACGGCAAUGACUAUCAUUGUGCCCAAUGGGGAUGUUGGACUAUAGCUCCUUGGUCCAUUCAAAUUAUAGAUCCCUGGUUAAAAAUGUCUCCCACCACCGUAUUAUCAUGAUAAAAACCUGUGAUACUGGCAUAUGUUAUCUGAUUACCAUUACACCCCAAAGAUUGGAAGAUCCUGGGUGGGUAACUGGAAGGACAUGGGGAAUUAGAUUAUAUGUAUCUUGGGUCAGAAUUUACCAUCCAGCAAGGUUGCCAGUGGGUUGAGCGACCUAUGGGGCCCAGCAAGGACUUUGCUCUACCUAUCCCCAUAGCAAGGCCUAAGCCUGUGCCCUCACCUACUCAGAAACCAGAACCCCCCCACUCUUCCAACUAUAUUACAAGAUAAACCCCCCACCCCUGUACUGGAAAUGUUGAUGAGCAUCCAUUUACUCAACAAAUCCAGCCCUGAGGAGGCUAAAGAUUGUUGGCUCUGCCUCGACCCCAGGCCCCCAUAUGAUUUGGGGUUGGGGCUCGUGGCUAUGGCAGACUUGUCCCCAACAGGUUGUGAUUGGAGCCACCCUCAACUCACCCUGGGGGACAUCCAAGGAAAAGGAACAAAUUACAGUUUGGAUACAUCACCUUAUAGAGAUCUGUGUAAUGAUAGUUAUAAUAAUCACCCUGCCUCAGGCCCCUGUUACUACAAGGCUCCAGAAGAUGCUUGGUUUGCUUGCACCAAGGGCUUGACUAAAUGUAUUCCCAAAUCAGUCUUGGCUACCCAAUGUGCCACUUUAUUUUGUGUCACCGUGUAUGUUGUUCCACAAGUCUUGUAUUAUAAUGGAAAAGGGGGCCGCAAACAUCUGGGAUUAACCACUGAACACUAUAGAAGUAAAUGGCUGUUCCCGUUUUAGUGCCCAUUUUGGUAGGAUUAGGAAUAGCCGGGUCAGCUAUUGGAACUUCCUCCCUGAUCCUUCAGGACAAAUUUUAAAGCCCUAAGCCACCAAGCAGCCAGAGAUUUGGGUCACCUGGAAGACUCGAUCUCCAGAUUAGAGAACCAGGUUGAUUCCCUAGCUGAGAUGGUCCUGCAAAAUCGAAGGGGACUUGACCUCCUGUUCAUGAAACAGGGAGGGUUAUGUGUAGCCCUAGGAGAAACCUGUUGCUUCUAUGCUAAUCAGUCUGGUGUCAUUAGAGAUACCUUAGCUACGGUCAGAGAAAAUUUAAAGACUAAAUAUGCUCAACAAAAGGAUCAAAAUUGGUUUCAGAAUCUAUUUGACUGGUCCCCAUGGUUAACUACCCUACUUUCUGCUGUAGCAGGCCCCUUAGUUAUCUUACUUCUGCUUUUGCUUGUGGGACCUUGUAUUAUAAAUGCU